GCUGGGGUGCAUUGUAGUUGCAUUGCAUGUUCUGGCAGUACCCGUGCAAUGUGUCCACAGUGCAUCCCAGAGGCCUG
rnacentral:pre_miRNA from 1 species